GUGAAGCGCUGACCGCAUCUAAGCGCGAACCCCGCCCCAAGAUGAGGCAUCCGAGCGACGCUGUGGCGUCGCUCCCGACCCCCGGCAGAUGACCGGGUGGAUAGGCGGGCCGUGGACAGCGGGUAACCGCGGCAGCGAGCUCGUCCUAAUCGGUCGGCGCUCUUUCUCCU
rnacentral:rRNA from 1 species